AGUGAACGCUGGCGGUAGGCCUAACACAUGCAAGUCGAACGGCAGCACAGUAAGAGCUUGCUCUUACGGGUGGCGAGUGGCGGACGGGUGAGGAAUACAUCGGAAUCUACUUUUUCGUGGGGGAUAACGUAGGGAAACUUACGCUAAUACCGCAUACGACCUACGGGUGAAAGCAGGGGAUCUUCGGACCUUGCGCGAUUGAAUGAGCCGAUGUCGGAUUAGCUAGUUGGCGGGGUAAAGGCCCACCAAGGCGACGAUCCGUAGCUGGUCUGAGAGGACGAUCAGCCACACUGGAACUGAGACACGGUCCAGACGCCUAAGGGAGGCAGCAGUGGGGAAUAUUGGACAAUGGGCGCAAGCCUGAUCCAGCCAUACCGCGUGGGUGAAGAAGGCCUUCGGGUUGUAAAGCCCUUUUGUUGGGAAAGAAAAGCAGCAGGUUAAUACCCCGCUGUUCUGACGGUACCCAAAGAAUAAGCACCGGCUAACUUCGUG
rnacentral:rRNA from 1 species